rnacentral:tRNA from 2 species
GGGGAUAUGGUGGAAUUUGGUAUACACACACGCUUGAGGGGCGUGGCUCCCUGAGCAUGAGGGUUCGAGUCCCUCUAUCCCCACCA